rnacentral:rRNA from 1 species
GACGAACGCUGGCGGCGUGCCUAAUACAUGCAAGUCGAGCGGUCGGAUGGGAGCUUGCUCCCAGACCGUCAGCGGCGGACGGGUGAGUAACACGUGGGCAACCUGCCUGUAAGACUGGGAUAACUCCGGGAAACCGGGGCUAAUACCGGAUAACUCUUUCCCUCACAUGAGGGAAAGCUGAAAGAUGGCAUCUCGCUAUCACUUACAGAUGGGCCCGCGGCGCAUUAGCUAGUUGGUGAGGUAACGGCUCACCAAGGCGACGAUGCGUAGCCGACCUGAGAGGGUGAUCGGCCACACUGGGACUGAGACACGGCCCAGACUCCUACGGGAGGCAGCAGUAGGGAAUCUUCCGCAAUGGACGAAAGUCUGACGGAGCAACGCCGCGUGAGUGAUGAAGGUUUUCGGAUCGUAAAACUCUGUUGUCAGGGAAGAACAAGUACCGGAGUAACUGCCGGUACCUUGACGGUACCUGACCAGAAAGCCACGGCUAACUACGUG